UACGGAGGGUGCGAGCGUUGUCCGGAAUCACUGGGCGUAAAGGGCGCGUAGGCGGCCCGCCACGCGCGCGGUGAAAGUCUGGGGCUCAACCCCGGAUCGGCCGUGCGGACGGGGGGGCUGGAGCACGGUAGAGGCGGGUGGAAUUCCGGGUGUAGCGGUGGAAUGCGUAGAGAUCCGGAAGAACACCGGUGGCGAAGGCGGCCCGCUGGGCCGUGGCUGACGCUGAGGCGCGACAGCGUGGGGAGCAAACAGGAUUAGAUACCCUGGUAGUCCACGCCGUAAACGAUGGGCACUAGGUGCCCGGGGGAGCGACCCCCCGGGUGCCGGCGCUAACGCAUUAAGUGCCCCGCCUGGGGAGUACGGCCGCAAGGCUGAA
rnacentral:rRNA from 1 species